CUCAAUGGUGGGCUGGGCGGGGGCACCGUAAGGUGCGCCGGUUGCCUGUAACGCCGGUAGUUCCAACCCCGUUCAGUCCACCACCAUG
rfam:Tatumella ptyseos ATCC 33301 GTPT.assembly.034, whole genome shotgun sequence.